rnacentral:tRNA from 1 species
GGAUUGUAGCUCAGUUUGUAGAGUGUUUGCCUUGCAUGUGUGAGACACUGGGUUCAAUCCUCAGCACCA